rnacentral:lncRNA from 1 species
GCAAAAAGGCACAGGCAAAAAGGCGGGAAGACGAGCUGCCCAUAGGACACUUCCUCAUAUGUUUCCAGAAAAGAAGUAGCCACUUUCAUUCCAGAGAAGGCAAACUGAGCAUGAGUGUGGCCCUCCUGGGGCUUCCUAGAGAUUGAUGAUCUUUAAUUGACCCUGGGGAGAAAUGCCUCAAAAGCCUUCUAAGGACCCUUCAGAUUGAAAGUAUCAAGUAAUAUCUAUCUAUGACCAUUUGUCCGCUCGGUCACUGAGUCAAGCACUUUAUUGAAUGUCUACCAAAUACCAGGCACUGGACUAGGCCCUAAGGACAAACAGAAGCCACUGUCCAUGAGGAAAUUGCCACCAGUUGGGGUGGCAGAGGUACCAUGUUUGGAGAGUGGGUUGCAAGGCCUUCCUCCCCACUGUCUUCUGGAAGAUUGGAGGAAGAGGAGCAGUGACAGGCGAGUGCUCUGCCUAACGUUGUUACCGUGUCUGGAACUCAGGGUCCCAAAGGAGACCAUGAACACUUCUGUCAGAGGACAGCAAGAGUCUCAUUGAAUGAUAAACUAGGGCUGCUGCCCUCAUGCUUCUUGUGCCAAAGGGUCAGCAGGCAUCCUGUGGGAGCUGCUCCCAGAGCUUACACAAAGAAGUGGAUCUGAGCAGUGCAACGGGUGGAGUGUGCUGGACAACAUGAUACUCUUCCCAGAUCUUCCCUACGGAUGAAGGACAAAUUCCUCUUGCUGCUGGGAACGCUCCUGGAAGAUGGCUCUCAGCUGUUAGCCCCUUCAAGAGAUUGCUUUGGCUGAGGAAACUUCCUUGCCCAAAGGACAGCUUACAUCCAACGACCCAUCAAUGAGGGGGUAUGAAGUUUUGUCCCCUCAUCUCAAUUCAGUUAAACUCCGAAGACCUAUCUCCUAGGGCCACACCUCCCUGGGGGACAAGCUGAGGACUUUGUUGGAAUGCAUUGCAGCUCAACUUCUGCCUCUGCCCAAUCUUGCUUCCUUUCUCCCCCUUCAGCAGAUGUUGAUACCAAGCAUAUGCCUUAAUAAACAUCCUGUAUGCUAAUCUCCAUCCCAGAGACUGCUUCUUGGGGAACACUUUCAAAACUGAAUCAAGACCAUCCAGGCCUGUGGCCAACAGCCAACUGAUCUCUUUGAGGGAAGCAGUGAAUAGACUGGUGUUCAGAUGUGCCCUCUUCAGUUCACUGGGAAUUCCUUCCUUGAUGCUCACAGAGGUGGAACUUCACCAAAACGGAUGCCAAUGUGCUCUCCCACUUUACAUCUUGGCUCACAAAAUAAGUCUUGUUCAAAUGAAAAUAGUCUUCAUGUAGAGCAUGGAUUUACAGAGAUAAACAGAAAUCAGGUAGAGCAUAGCUCAGUUAAAAUAAGUCUUGUAGAUUGUGGUUACGAUUACACAACGUUAUAUAUUUAUUUAAUGCCACUGC